rnacentral:rRNA from 1 species
CCUACGGGAGGCAGCAGUGAGGAAUAUUGGUCAAUGGCCGGAAGGCUGAACCAGCCAAGCCGCGUGAAGGACGAAGGUGCCAAGCAUUGUAAACUUCUUUUGUCAAGGGACAAAAUCAGGCUCGAGAGCCUGACCGAGGGUACUUGAACAAAAAGCAUCGGCUAACGCCCGGUCAGCAGCCGCGGUAAUACGGAGGAUGCGAGCGUUAUCCGGAUUUAUUGGGGUUAAGGGGUGCGUAGGCGGACUGUUAAGUCAGCGGUAAAAGCCCGGGGCUCAACCCCGGCGAGCCGUUGAAACUGGCGGUCUUGAGAUGUCGAGGGGUAUGCGGAAUGCGCAGUGUAGCGGUGAAAUGCUUAGAUAUUGCGCAGAACUCCGAUUGCGAAGGCAGGAGACCGGCGGCGAUCUGACGCUGAGGCACGAAAGCGUGGGUAUCGAACAGGAUUAGAUAUCCCUGUAGUC